rnacentral:lncRNA from 1 species
CAGCCCUUUUGAAGGUGCUACAAGCUGAUUUAGUGUGAUCCUGCCACACACUCCCUGGGUGAGCUCAGGCAAGUCCUUUUCCUUCUCUGGGCCUCAGUCUCUUCAUCUAUAAAAGAAGGGGGUUGGAAUAAUUCUGUGUUUCCCAAAAGUGUUGUCUGGGCUGCUAGUCUCAUGAAAUGCUUUUUCCACAUGGGUCUGGAGUUCAGUAUGCUUGGGGAAUGCUGCAUUCUCUAGCCCUAUUGGAAAUUCACAAUGCACCUUGGCAUGUCACGGGCUCUGGGAAGUCUGACAAUCAAGAAAGCUAACUUGCCUCCACUCAGCUUUACCCAAACUUUUGUCACCACACAACCCUUUUGGAGCUGAGCAUCUAUUAGAAUCUUGUGGAACCAACAUGUGGGGAACAUGCUUUGGGAAAUGCUGGAGUGGAUGGUCACCCAGGGCCUACCCUGCUCUGAUAGGUGGUGAUUCUGCUGAAGUUGCUAUUUGAGGGAAGAGGACAGCAUCUGUCUCAGGUCUGCAUCUGCCACAGUCGGUGUUCAGACAACAGGCAUUAAACAGGGGGUACAAAAGAGAUGGGUAAAUUGAAUUGAAAGCACGGCUAAUUUGGAUGCAGACAAUAGAUGCCUAGUCACGAGUGGAGAGCAGAUUGUUCCCAGAAACAAAUGAGUACAAGGCUUGAUGGGGAGAGCAUUGCUAACCACAGUAGUGAUGGGUACGUCUGUUAUCUAUGUUCCUGUGCUGCCGGCCAUGUCAGUUCAAGGCCAUUCUCAAUUGACUUUCCUCUGGGAAAGUUUACCUGGGGGCUCUGCGGGUAGAAGGAGGAGAAGCUUCCCCACUCAUGUUCCUUUCAUUGCACAUAAGGCAUUGCUGGCACUUCUAAAUGUCAAGUCUAAGUAGUUCUGCUAUUAAAUCAGCUCUUUUAUAUCUCUGGACCAUGUCCUGGACAAGGCAGAAGGCUUCGUGGCACUGGGCGUGGGGCCUGGCCUGCUAUAUUCCUCAGCUGGGCCUUGCAUUAGCACUGAUUGCUGGCAAAGCUGUCAGCCCAGGACUGUGUUUUUCUAAUCAAGAAGGCCGAUUUAGCUCUUGGGAAAGACUGGUCAGCUGGGCCAUGUUACUUUCUUCUCCUGGUAGCAAUAAUACAGGCAAAGACAGCAGAAGCUUCUGUAAAUAGUUUUUCAGGCAGCCACAAAUCACUGAGGCCCUCUCCUCUCCAGCCACUUGGAGGUUGCUCACUGGGGUUCACCUACAAAUCUUCCUGCCCUGGGGCUGGUGGGAGAGACUGGAUCCUCUUGCCUGCUGGUGUCUCCUAGCACCUCUCACUACUGGGGAGAGAGGGGACAAAAAGCAUUUCCCAAUCCCCUAGGCAGGAAGACUAGGGUUUUGUUUACUCUAUCAGAGUCCCUCUUAGGAAAUAUUUCACUUUCUACCUUGUUUUAGUAAUACAAUGUCACUACUAGUACCUGAGAUUUGUUGAACACUUACUUUACUACAUGCCAGGGACUGUGCUGCAUCCUUUCCAUGCACUGGCUCAUUAACUCCUCAUAAUAACACAACAGGAGUUGAUACUAAUAUUACCCCUAUUUUUUAGGUGGUGAAACCAGGGCAAAACAAAAAAAAAGAUAUAAAUUAACUUGCUCAAGGCCACGCAGCAAGGAGAUGGCAAAGCUGGGAUUCCCAAUCCAAGUCAGCCUGGUCUGCAAUGCACCUGCUCUUGACCAUGACACCACGUUGCAUCCCUGUUAGUUGUUUACUUGUUUGGCUCUACCAGAGAUGGAGGGCUCUUUGAAGGCAAAUGUUCAUGGCAGGACCUGGCACAUAGUGGGUCCUGAGGGGAGCGUGGUAGUCAGUGCAAGGCUGCCUGCAUCUGAACAUUGUGGUUCACUUGUCAAGAGUGAAGGGGAAAGUCCUCUGCCAUGUAGGGUCAGAGAAAGAAACGCAUCUGCUCCUUACUCCCCAAGCCUGACAUCCCCCAAAGAUAAUUACUGUGGACUCUCAGCUGUUGGAGAUCAGAGCCUAUUCCACAUCAGCUUGGUCUGUUUCCCAAAACAAGUUUGCAUUGUUUUGAAACCAUGGUGCAGGGCACCCAGAGAGCAAAUAGAAGUUGAUCCCCACACAACAGGCAGUAACUAAGGCACCAAGAGUGCGUGGGACAGCUUUGGGGGUGAAGGAGAAGGCUAUGUAGUGCUGAGGGUAUGCACAUUUCAGAAAGGGGCCCACCCCUGCAGAAGACGGUUCGGUCAACUGAAGCAGGGGCCCUGGGGCUGUUCCUGCCCUUUAACUCAAUAAUCGUCACUCCUGAGAUUUUAUUCCUCAGGAAGCAUUUCAACAGAAUUGCAAAGAUACAUGCAUGAAGAUGUUCAUUAUGAGAUUGGCUGUAGUAAUAUAACACUGGGAACAAAUGAAUUGCCCAGCAAUAAGGGUGGUUAAUUAAAUUAUGGCAUAUCCAUUCCAUUGCAUAUUAUGAGGCCAUUUACUAUGCUUAUCCUGAAACCUGCAGCAGCCUGAGGAAUACAUGGAACAGAAGGUUUGUAAAGGAAGAGGUGCAAUGUAUUUACAUUGUGAUUUUGCAACUUACAAACUUUCUGUGCAGUAUAUACCCAGAUAUAAAGAACUGUGUCAGGGUGAUGAGAUUUGGUGAUUUCUUUUUAAAAAAUUUCUUGAUCAUUGUUAUACUGUUUUCACAUUUCCAAAUGUAAUUGUGUAUGUGUGUGCAUGUGCACGUGCGUGUGUGUGUGUGUGUGUGUGUGUGUGUGUGUGUUGGAAGAAUCAGCACAUAAUUUCACCCCCAAAUUAAUUCUAUUUGCAGUGAAUUCCCACAUCUACUUGAGAAUGAAAGUAUAUAUAUGGGGAACGGGGACAAGAAGAAAACAGGUGCUGGUGCUAUUUGAUGCAUGAUCAGGACCAUGACAUGUUAUUAAAAAGAAGCCUGGAUCCUUCCAUGGUACAGCUGGCUAUUCAUGAAACUUUGAAAUGGAUAAGGCUGUAGCAUCUGGUCCAUUGUUGCCAUUCCUAUAUUGCCAGCCAGCCUUCAUCUUAAGACUUGAAUUUGCAAGUGGUUCCUGCCUAUCAGUGAACAGGGAUGAAUCCAGAACCUUUUUCUCAGAUGAACAAAAGGAAGUGGGCACUCUUCCCCAAAUGGGAGAAAGAAGCUUAUCCCAAGUUCCAAGCUUGAAUGUCCAUUGGUCUUAUCAGGGCAACUGCAGACAGAAAUCUCCCAACCCCCACUACCAGACAGCAUCCCCUUUAGCCCAGAGAUAGCAGACUAUGUGACAGAACAGUUUUUGGAGGCAGCAGUGGUGACCCCCAUCUCAUGCACCCACCUUUGGUGCUGAUGUUCUGCUUGGCCUGGCAAAUAUCAGCUUUGUGUCACUUCCCCCCACUUCUAAGCCUGACACAUGGGUAAUUACACAUCAGGACUGUGUACGGUGAAAUUAGCAGAGGUUCAAAGCAUUUGGCUUUCAUAUCUCCCUACUUCCCCAUUCCUGCUACCCCCUUCAUAAUUGUCACCUUUUCAGAUAUUCAGCUUGGAACAGCUGGCACACAGCCCUUGUAUUGCCAUGCAGAUGCACACCCAGAGCCAAUUAAACACAAAGAUGACCAGAUGUGGGGGGAACGAUUGGCUGCCGCAUCAGGUAAUCCCUUCACAUGUAUGCCCUGAUCAAUACUCUACCAAAUACUCAAAGGACACCUUCAGGAGAUCUCUGGAGCAGUGUCUCUUUUCAGCUCUCCAGUACUCUGUCCUGUGAAAUUUAGCCUCCUUGGCCUUCCUGUAUUCCCAGCUCUGCUUCCUCAGCACAGAGAAAACACCAAGCUCUUGCCUGGACUUUCCCUCCUUGAAAUCUCUCUCUAGGCAAUAAACUGGAGCAAUUGUAGCACUCACCUCAUUUGUUUCUCGUCUCUAUCUUUCACUACCUGAAGUCCAGCAUCUUGCAAAAUAUUGACUUUUUAUAUAUUAUCUGUUGAUUAUUUCAAGAAGAAAGGUAAAUUCAAUUCCUGUUACUUCAUCUUGACCAGAAGCAGAAGGCUACACUCCUUUAAAAACUUCCUAGUCCUCGGGGCUGGCCCCGUGGCCGAGUGGUUAAGUUCGCGCAAUCUGCAGCAGGCGGCCCAGUGUUUCGUUAGUUCGAAUCCUGGGCGCGGACAUGGCACUGCUCAUCAGACCACGCUGAGGCAGCGUCCCACAUGCCACAACUAGAAGAAUCCCCAACGAAGAAUACACAACUAUGUACCG